rfam:Ruminococcaceae bacterium D16 genomic scaffold acsPy-supercont2.1, whole genome shotgun sequence.
AAAAUGGCCGCUUUUGCGGCCAUUUUUUAUAUUUGUAAAGGAGCAGU